rnacentral:rRNA from 1 species
UCCCUUAGAUGUUCUGGGCCGCACGCGUAUUACAAUGGCGUCGUCAAUUGGCAACAAAACUCCUGUAAAAGGGAGUGGUAUCCCAUUAAUUGACGUCAAACUUGGGAUUGGCUAUUGGAAUUAUUGGCCUUGAACGAGGAAUUCCUUGUAAUUGCAAAUCAUCAGUUUGCGAUGAAUACGUCCCUGCCCUUUGUACACACCGCCCGUCGCUCCUACCGAUUGGGUGAUCCGGUUAAUUCCAUGGAGCGCUUUUCGCCAUCCAAUGGUGAGAUGCGUGAAGUGGUGUGAACCUUNUNAUUUAUNGGAAGGAGAANUCGUANCA